GAGAUCUACAUGCUUCUCCCUCGUCGGGUUAGUCACCUCUCUGUGAUUUUAGAGCAAAAUUUGUGCUCCUCUCUCCCUCUUUACUCCAUCUAUUUUUUGUCCGUGAUUCUAGGGCAAGCACGUCUCUUCAUUUCUCUGUAAUUUUAGGGCAAACAUAGACAUUUGGGAAACUAGCAUAUGUCCCUGCGUCUAGAUCUGCAUCUCACGAGGUAAGUAUAAUUGUUAAUCUACAUCUACGUCUAUAAGGGCUUAAUGGUUGGCUAGAAACAGAGGUAGGCAUAUCGGAAACUCAACUCAAUAAUCGUGUGGACUAUGUUCUAUGUCUUAAGUAAACAUAUCUAAUUGUGUGGUCUUUAAGGUUAAGAAAACGUAAGGUUUGGUUUCCUUCUUAGAGACUGGUUUCAUGAAAUGACUUUCCUUCAAAAAAAGGCUACCCUUAGUCUCUAAGAGAGGUGUUUGCCGAAUUGCCGCAGUGUGAGGACUAAAGAAAAGUCAUCGAAUUCCAUAGAGAUGAAGAUACAAUGUGAUGCAAAUAGGUCCUUCAAUGGAGAAGCUGAAUCUGUGUUGUUUUCAUUUAAUUGUUAUUGUGGAGUAGUUGAUAGUAAUAUAAUUUGCAAUUUGUAGCUUUUUGUAAUACUCUUUCUUGGCAUGGGUUUUAUGUUCUAGCCCGUGUUUGCCACUGUAUGCCAAAACAUAAUAUUUGUGUGAUUGACAAGCAAAUGUAAUGGUUGGAGACUCCAUAUUAGAUUUUGAUGCUUGCUAGUUGUUGGUUGUUCACUUUAUUUUUUGUCUGACCAUGAUUUGUUGUUCAGUCAAAAAAAAGAAAAAAUUUGUU